rnacentral:rRNA from 1 species
AAUAAUGGGGAAAAACGCACAAUGGGCGCAAGCCUGAUGCAGCAAUGCCGCGUGAGGGAUGACGGCCUUCGGGUUGUAAACCUCUUUUAGCAGGGAAGAAACGAAAGUGACGGUACCUGCAAAAAAAGCGCCGGCUAACUACGUGCCAGCAGCCGCGGUAAUA